GAUCAGUUGGUAACAUCGUUAAGGUGUAUUGUACCAGUACAUUCAUGCCCUUCAUUUUUGUUACAUUAUAUGCAUCACACUGCAUUUCUGGAUGUAAUAUGCAACUGGAAAUUAUAAGGGUAGAGGGUAUUUUUCUUAGUGGUUCUCUGCACUCCAUAUAUUUUCCGUACAAUUUUUUAAAUCUACAUUUCUGCUACAGCAUAUGAAGAUUUAAUAUUCAAGUCUAGAUUCUGACAAUAUGCCCCAUACCUGAGGUAAUAUAUUGUACAUGCCUUUAAUAGCAUCAAAAUAAAAAAAGUAUUUCACUUCACUGGAGUGGGAACUAGAUCCUUUAAAUGUAAACCUUAUGGAAGUAUUUAGUUGCAUUUCUUUUACUGUGAUAUGAUUCUCUCUUAUGGAGAGAUAUUAUCUGUUAUCUCUGUGUUAAAAAUAGCACAUGCAUUAUUUUCUUUCACUGUCUGACACAACCCACACAACGUUUACUUUCUUGGCUCAAGUUCUGCAUGAAAUAAUUCCAUAACAGUUCAAGCAAUGCAACAAGACAGUGGUGUUGAAAAGAGGUAUUGAAAAGAGGCAGUGUGUGUCUGGCUAAGAUUGAAGGUCUCUCUGUAGUUUUAGGGUUACCAUAUUUCCAGUUCCAAAAAAGAGGACACCUGUCCGGAGAGCGGGGAAGGGGUGGUAUUUCUAACUGCUACAGUAGAUAACAAGUGUUAUUGCCUCAGAAAUGCAAUGUGAAACAAAAAUAAUUGUCACAAAAAUUAAAAAUGUACAUUUUUAUAUGCUGUCAGUCCUCUCCUGUGCUUCUUCCAGUCAUGCCUAUGCAUACUUCUAUGUAGAGCAUAUCUUUCUCAGUAAUUGCUGAUUGCUCAUUAAGUAUCCAUGAAAAUAGGGUUACCGUAUUUCCAGUUGCAAACUGUUUGAUAAAAACCCUGAAUUCACCCAUUUAAAAAAACCCGAACCCGCAUUUUUCCAUGCUUAAAUUGAAAUGCCACUAUAGCUAUCUAUCCAGUUGUCAGUUUAACACAAUGGGGUUUUGUUGAUUUCUUUACAACUUUAAAGCAAUUUAGAAGCCUACCCGUGUCUCAAUCAUUUUAAGAAAAUAGAUUCCAAAUACCCAUUAUUUGACUUUUUUUUUUUUUUAAACAGAGCUCCCCUGCCCACUUUGCUCAACAGGGUGUAGUGCCACUGCUGCUGUGCGGGCCGGCCCGUGCCGGGUCCCGCUACACCACCUCCCAUCCCCCGCCUGGCCGUCCGCGUCUGCGUGCGCGCGCAAACCAGCACCACGCCGCCGCCGCCGCCCCCAUUAGCUGAUGCGGCGCCGCCUCUUCUCUGUUUUUCCGCAAUAAACUGAAAGUCGGGUCUUGACGUCAGCUUACAAUCGCGCAUGCGCCCUCGCGCGGAGACUCCUGGGAGCUGUCGUUCCACCUAGCGGCGGCCAUGUUGAAUGCGGCCGCGGGAGGAAAUCCCGGACAUUUUGCCUGCUGCAUUUAAAAAACCCGCCCGGCCGCAGCACAGGGGGCCAAAAAAGAGGACAUGUUCGUUAAAACCUGGAUGCAUGGUAGCCUUGAUACUGAUUUCCUCCCAGCUGUUAUUCAACCAUCUUUUCCACUGAAUAAUUGUAAAAAUUUGAAAGAGAAAAAUAUCUGUUGAGUACCUAUACUAGCUGUUUGGUCAGGUUUGUUUCUUCAGUGCAUUCUCAAGUACCCCGUGGUAUUUUAAACGACAGAGCCAUAUUCAGACUUCUUUGAUAAAGAAAGUGUUUCUGAUAACCCCUGUGCACUUGUUGCUCUGUCACAAAGGACACAUUUUACCCUUGUGGGGAUGUGGUGGUCCACGACUGUGGGGAGGAUGGAAUGAUUUCUGACCUGUUUGCUCCAGCGUGCUUUGGAUACAUUGCUUUUGGUUCUGAUAGCAUAAAUGAAUCACUUGUUUUUAAAGGUGUCCACAAAUGCUUGGAUACGUAGAACUAGGUUUCUAUUAUUGUCAGAAACAGGAACAUUUCUCUUUAGAUGUUUAGAUAGCUGCAAUUUAACUCUUCUCUCCCCACCAGUCAAAAUUAUGAGCAAGCAAGAAAGGGGGGCAAGAUGACAACAGCUUCAGAGAAAGAAUAAAGAAGACUAAAUUCAUUCAUCAAAUAUGCCCCAUUGAGAAAAGGGGGGAAGGCAUGAAUUAAACCCAGAGAAGAUGCUUACAGACACCUUAAGGAGCUCUGUGCACUGCCUUUCUAGUAAUUGGCUUGCUCUGCUAAUGUAGGUCUGUCAUCCCUGGGGAAUUUCUCUCACCCCCUCCCACAGCUGUUCUUUACUAAGCUGUGCCUGUCUUGCUCUGGUCAGACCUGAAGAACAAUGUCUUGUAUGUAAAAGCUUGUCUAACUCUAUCCCAGCUUCACAGUUGAGCCGAUAAAAGAUAUCACCUAGAGAAGCCCUCGUGCUUCUUUCGAGGAGAAGGCUGCUGGCACCCUGCUGUUGGGACCAUUGCUCUCUGCCUGCCCAUUCCAGCUCAUGGACUUUGGCUUCCCAAGAAACCAUGGCUGCUGCCAUUUCUGCCUGAUGUUUUUAACUGGAGCCCCUGUCCCAUGCCCUGCAUGUGGGUCCUGUCAGGGCAGGGCGUGCUGACAGCAAAAUACUAGAGCAAUUCUUCUCUUGCAAAGAACCCAGAAAGCGCCAAGCAGGGCACCAUGAUUUUAACACCAUGGAUUCUUGUUGGAAAUCUCUGGGUUUAUCUGAUGAGAGAGAACAUUGGCGAGCAGCCGGAUUGAAUUGCCACUAAGUCAUCUCAAAUGAAAGCUUUUGCUGAAAAUACAGAGUUCUGCUGCAUUGAAUCAAAUCAUUUCAUUUUCAAGUGGAAACAAAGACUGAGAAACACAUGCAAGAGGAAAAGUGGGGGCCCAAAACUGGACACAGGACUGCAGAUAUGGCCUCACUAGUGCUGCAUAGAUACGAAUAUGAAUACAUCCUACUUAUCACCAAGCAACUUUGAGAAUAAAAGCAUUGAGAUGCAACAUUGCUUUUCCAUAAUUUGACGCCAGAGGGAGCUGUUGCAGAGAGAAAACAAAGAGGGUGUUGCCUAAACUGUACGUGUUGGGAAAUAGGAAAAUCUAUCAUUGUUCAUAUUUUCUGUGUCUUCUACCUCCAUAACUCCUUCUUAUAAUUUGGAAAACGCAGUAGAAGGCAACAUAGCUUCUGGCCCAGUCUACCAGCAAAAAGAGAUAGGUGACAAUAGCUCUUUUUAGUGAUUUGCUCUCAUUACUGUAACUUAGAUCUCACUUCAAAGCUUCCCCCUAGCCUGGAAAACCCCACAUGUAAUGCAAUACCAACAUGUAUGUUAACUUUUCUUGUUUAAAUACAAAUGGUAAAUCCAGUUAUUCUGUAAAUCCUAACUUAGUAUUCAUCUUGGUGAUCUCA